rnacentral:misc_RNA from 1 species
UAAUAGUUAGUAGGAAGG